UGGGACUGAGAAUGAAUGAGUUGCUCUU
rnacentral:piRNA from 1 species